rnacentral:snRNA from 1 species
GACAACGUAAUAUAGAAUGCAUU